rnacentral:rRNA from 1 species
GACGAACGCUGGCGGCGUGCUUAACACAUGCAAGUCGAACGGAAAGGCCCUGCUUUUGUGGGGUGCUCGAGUGGCGAACGGGUGAGUAACACGUGAGUAACCUGCCCUUGACUUUGGGAUAACUUCAGGAAACUGGGGCUAAUACCGGAUAGGAGCUCCUGAUGCAUGGUGGGGGUUGGAAAGUUUCGGCGGUUGGGGAUGGACUCGCGGCUUAUCAGCUUGUUGGUGGGGUAGUGGCUUACCAAGGCUUUGACGGGUAGCCGGCCUGAGAGGGUGACCGGCCACAUUGGUACUGAGAUACGGCCCAGACGCCAACGGGCGGCAGAAGUGGGGAAUAUUGCACAAUGGGCGGAAGCCUGAUGCAGCAGCGCCGCGUUCGUGAUGACGGCCUUCGGGUUGUAAACCGCUUUCGCCUGUGACGAAGCGUGAGUGACGGUAAUGGGUAAAGAAGCACCGGCUAACUACGUG